rnacentral:rRNA from 1 species
AUUGAACGCUGGCGGCAGGCUUAACACAUGCAAGUCGAGCGGGGUGAUGGUGCUUGCACUAUCACUUAGCGGCGGACGGGUGAGUAAUGCUUAGGAAUCUGCCUAUUAGUGGGGGACAACAUCUCGAAAGGGAUGCUAAUACCGCAUACGUCCUACGGGAGAAAGCAGGGGAUCACUUGUGACCUUGCGCUAAUAGAUGAGCCUAAGUCGGAUUAGCUAGUUGGUGGGGUAAAGGCCUACCAAGGCGACGAUCUGUAGCGGGUCUGAGAGGAGGAUCCGCCACACUGGGACUGAGACACGGCCCAGACUCCUACGGGAGGCAGCAGUGGGGAAUAUUGGACAAUGGGGGGAACCCUGAUCCAGCCAUGCCGCGUGUGUGAAGAAGGCCUUAUGGUUGUAAAGCACUUUAAGCGAGGAGGAGGCUCUUCUGGUUAAUACCCAAGAUGAGUGGACGUUACUCGCAGAAUAAGCACCGGCUAACUCUGUGCCAGCCGCCGCGGUAA